CCCUUAGAUGUUCUGGGCCGCACGCGCGCUACACUGAUGCAUUCAACGAGUCUAAAACCUGGUCUGAUAGGGCUGGGUAAUCUUUUGAAUGUGCAUCGUGAUUGGGAUAGAUGAUUGCAAUUCUUCAUCUUCAACGAGGAAUGCCUAGUAAACGCAAGUCAUCAGCUUGCAUUGAUUGCGUCCCUGCCCUUUGUACACACCGCCCGUCGCUCCUACCGAUUGAAUGUUCCGAUGAAUACCAUGGACUGAGAGUAUGAAUGGGUUCGCCUAUUUCUGCUUCUCGGGAAGUGGAGUAAAUCUUAACAUUUAGAGGAAGGAGAAGUCGUAACA
rnacentral:rRNA from 1 species